GCUUGCCAUGCUCUGAGGCCCAGCCAGUUCCUGGAAAAGCUGCAAAUCCUCCCAGAGGAGGAAUAGCUCAAGCAACUGAAGACAUCAUUAUGGGGUGACUUUAAGGCCAAAGAGAAGGUGCAGACGCAUCCCAUUCCAAGUCAAACUACCACCUUUCAGAAGAGAGGGCUGGGCCUGGAAUCCACACUUCAGGGUGGACCCCAUGAGCAACACUGAAGGUUGCAAAUGACGAUUGUCCUUCUGCACGAACCGUGCCAGGCCUGCUGCUGGUAAUGACGGGGGAAGAGAAGAAACAGGCACUUGGCGCUGGAGCUUGUCUCUCUUUCUGAUUAAAAAAGUUGACUAGGAGCAGUGAAAAGUGAAAGCAGCCUAGAUGCCCGUCAUCAGAGGACUGGCUAAAGAAGUCAUGACAUAUGUAUGCCACGGAGUACUAUUCUGUGCCACCAAAAAGAUGAUAGUGUGUCCUUUGGGACUAAAUGGAUGGAACUGGAGGUGAUUAUACUUGGCCAAGUGAGUGAAGAGAUGAAAGUCAACCACUGGAUGGUUUCACUCAUAUGUGGAAUCCAGAGAUCUGAUUUACAUGAACUUGCCAAACAAACAAACAAAACAGAAGCAAACAGACUGUUUGCAGGACUUGUGAGAA